UCUCACAUGUCGCAUACCCUUUCCCCCAACAAAAAUAAUAUUACCAAUUUUCUUUGUUCUCUCUUCUUGUCCUUUCUUAUCCUGAAACACUACAACACUACAUGACCAUGAUGUGGUUUGUGAUGUCUUCAAGCUCCAAACGUGUGUCUAUGUUCUUCAUUUUUUUGUUCGUGGCUUCCCAACACUUUGGAUCCAACGCUCGACUUAUACCACUAGAUGAAGAUUAGCCAUUAAAGGAAAAAAAAAAAAAAGAAUACAGGAGCUGGAAGCAAAGUGUCUAGAGCAAUAACCAAAUCACCACUGUGAGUGAAAUUGCUACAAGCAAUAUCAGACAAGGUAGAGAACUUGAGUUGGAAAGUUACACAACGUUCCUGCAACGGGAUAUAGGAUUUGAUAAUAGGGAAAUUUCAAGGAAUGGGGAACACAUUCUAAGCAUUUGACAAGGAAAAUUAGUUUCCAUAUAAUCUAUC